UGCUGCAUGGCUGUCGUCAGCUCGUGUCGUGAGAUGUUCGGUUAAGUCCGCUAACGAGCGCAACCCUCGCUGUGUGUUACAAGUGUCACACGGAACUGCCGGUCAUAAACCGGAGGAAGGUGGGGAUGACGUCAAGUCAGCAUGGCCUUUAUAUCCUGGGCUACACACACGCUACAAUGGGAAGGGACAAUAGGUUGCGAAGCCGCGAGGCGGAGCCAAUCCAGCAAAACUUCCCUCAGUUCAGAUUGCAGGCUGCAACUCGCCUGCAUGAAGUUGGAGUUGCUAGUAAACGCAGGUCAGCCAUACUGCGUUGAAUACGUUCCCGGGGCUU
rnacentral:rRNA from 1 species